rnacentral:lncRNA from 1 species
CCCAUUCGAUGGAUUCUCUCUUAUGACGUGUAGGGGUGCUGACUGUGAUGUUUCCUAUGAAUAUGAAUAGUGAACAAAAAAUUAUAUGUGUGAUAUAUUUUAAUUUAAAUCAAAUUAUGCAUGUAUUUUUAUAUAUUUUAGAUCGUAAAAUAUUAUAUUUGAUAUAUUGUUUGACACAUGAUUUAAAACUUAAAUUUCUGUAAAACCCU